ACUCAAAUGAAUAGACGGGGACCCGCACAAGCGGUGGAUUAUGUGGUUUAAUUCGAAGCUACGCGAAGAACCUUACCAAGGCUUGACAUCCCAGGAAUCCUGCAGAAAUGCGGGAGUGCCCUCGGGAACCUGGUGACAGGUGCUGCAUGGCCGUCGUCAGCUCGUGUCGUGAGAUGUUGGGUUAAGUCCCGCAACGAGCGCAACCCCUGUCGUCUGUUGAAUUUUUCAGGCGAGACUGCCCGGGCCAACCGGGAGGAAGGUGGGGAUGAGGUCAGGUCAGCAUGGCCCUUACGCCUUGGGCCACACACGUAAUACAAUGGCUGGUACAACGAGUUGCCAACCCGCGAGGGGGAGCUAAUCUCAUCAAAACCAGUCUCAGUUCGGAUUGUAGGCUGCAACUCGCCUGCAUGAAGCUGGAAUCGCUAGUAAACGUGGGUCAGCAUACCACGUUGAAUACGUUCCCGGGUCUUGCACACACCGCCCGU
rnacentral:rRNA from 1 species